AGAAACCAAAUAUUCUUGGUAAAAUAUCUGGCAAAAUAUUCCAGAUCUCCAAAGUUAAAGACCGACUUAAAGAUACAUCAGCUGAAAUGUUUAUGGCUUCUGCAUUUAUCAACAACUCACAAAUGCUGAAAAUGAAGCACAUAACUCUGAGAGAACUAUUUGCCUCGAGGAAACUUACCAUUAAGGAGAGCAUUCGUCUGGUGUCACAACUUACCGCCGCAAUAGCAUAUUUGCAUCAUCAUUAUUUAACACUUUGUCAACCACUUUCAUUAGAUACUUUAGCUGUCUUUAUGGAUAGAAAGACCAUCAUACGAAUAAAGGUGAUUUCUGAAAUAAAAGAUAUUAGAAAUGAACUGGAUACUGCUCAGGAUGUAGACAACAUCGGAAAGAUAACUAAACUGGUAUUAAGGAAUACAAGAAAACUGCCAGAAGAUGGCAAUGUGUAUUAGCAAUUUAUAAACAGAUUACAAAUUCUACACUAUAAGCUAAUGUUAACAUGUACAAAUGUGUGUUUACCUUGCAUUUUCUGUAAAUACCAAUA